ensembl:lncRNA
GUUAUGGUAAAGGCUUGGGUUCAAAUCCCGCUCCAGCAUGUUUAAACUUUCACUGGUUUAUGUCACAGGUGAACGGUGAAAUAUAAGUUCUUUUACAUGUUCACACUAGAGAUCUGUGGCUCACAGGUAAGAGUACUGCCUCAUGGUUCAGAGGUGCCUCAUGGUUCAGCUGGUUCGAUUCCAGUCAGAUCUCUGCUAUAUGAGUGAAGGAGUGAUUCGAAAUAGACUCUGCCAAAGCUUUAACUAGUUUAAAAGCACAUGUAGGUUAAUAGUGAAAUAUAAGUUCCUUCACAUUCAACAAAGUACCACAAAAGUCAGGCACAAAAUGUGAAAACCACAAUGGGUUAGUGGUUAAUCAGAUGUUUUCGGAUGAUAAGACUGUGAUUGAGGCAUGGGUUCAAAUCCCAUCUCAGUGACAAAAAUCAGCCAACUGAUAGCUUUAACUGUUUUAUUAUAAAAGCACAUGCAGGUGAACAGUGAAAUAUAAGUUCCUUCACAUGUUCAGACAAGAGAUCUGUGGCUCACAGGUAAGAGUACUGCCUCAUGGUUCAGAGGUUGCUGGUUCGAUCCCAGCCAGAUCUCCGCGAUAUGAGUGAGUGUUGUGUGAAUGAAGGGAUGGGGACGAUUCGGGUCCCCCCCGAGCCCCGGCACCAUGUCCAGCAGGGGUUAUACUUCUUGACAGAAAAAAAAUAAAAUUUUGCUGUAUAAAUUUUCAGCUCCGCCGUCCCUUCCCCACCUGUUUAGGUUACCAUCAUUUGCUUU